rnacentral:piRNA from 1 species
UAUUGAUUGCACAUGAAGUCUGAGGA